CUCCACGUUUUCAUAGGGGCUAUUCUUUGUUGUAGCUUCCUUUCCUAGGCGUGGAACAGUAAAGUCUUCUUUCUGAGCACUCCUCUUAAUGACUUUUUGUUUUUAAGAAGGUGGUGUUCGAUUAAGGAAC